rnacentral:rRNA from 1 species
UACGAAAGGUGCAAGCGUUACUCGGAAUCACUGGGCGUAAAGCGCACGUAGGCGGACUCGCAGGUCAAUUGUGAAAUACCUGGGCCCAACCCGGGAACUGCAGUUGAAACCGCUUGUCUUGAAUACCUGAGAGGGUGGGGGAAUACCUGGUGGAGAAGUGAAAUUCGUAGAGAUCAGGUGGAACACCGGAGGCGAAGGCGCCUGCCUGGCAGUGUAUUGACGCUGAGGUGCGAAAGUGCGGGGAGCAAACAGG